rnacentral:rRNA from 1 species
CCAGACUCCUACGGGAGGCAGCAGUGGGGAAUAUUGCACAAUGGGGGAAACCCUGAUGCAGCAACGCCGCGUGAAGGAAGACGGUUUUCGGAUUGUAAACUUCUGUUCUUAGUGAAGAAGAAUGACGGUAGCUAAGUAGCAAGCCACGGCUAACUACGUGCCAGCAGCCGCGGUAAUACGUAGGUGGCAAGCGUUGUCCGGAAUUACUGGGUGUAAAGGGAGCGCAGGCGGGAAGCCAAGUCAGCUGUGAAAACUACGGGCUUAACUUGUAGACUGCAGUUGAAACUGGUUUUCUUGAGUGAAGUAGAGGUUGGCGGAAUUCCGAGUGUAGCGGUGAAAUGCGUAGAUAUUCGGAGGAACAUCGGUGGCGUAAGCGCUUUACUGGGCCGUAAUUGACGCUGAGGAACGAAAGCCAGGGUAGCAAAUGGGAUUAGAUACCCUUGUAUA